rnacentral:rRNA from 1 species
UACGGAGGGGGCUAGCGUUGUUCGGAAUUACUGGGCGUAAAGCGCGCGUAGGCGGACCUGCAAGUCGGGGGGUGAAAGCCCGAGGCUCAACCUCGGAACUGCCUUCGAUACUGCGGGUCUCGAGUCCGGGAGAGGUGAGUGGAAUUCCUAGUGUAGAGGUGAAAUUCGUAGAUAUUAGGAAGAACACCAGUGGCGAAGGCGGCUCACUGGCCCGGUACUGACGCUGAGGCGCGAAAGCGUGGGGGAGCAAACAGG